rnacentral:rRNA from 1 species
AUUGAACGCUGGCGGCAGGCCUAACACAUGCAAGUCGAACGAGUGGCGGACGGGUGAGUAAUGUCUGGGAAACUGCCUGAUGGCGGGGGAUAACUACUGGAAACCGUAGCUACUACCGCAUACCAUCAGAUUUGCCCAGAUUGGAUGAGCUAGUUGGUGGGGGAACGGCUGACAAAGGCGACGAUCCCUAGCUGGUCUGAGAGGAUGACAAGCAACACUGGAAAUGAGACACAGUCCAGACGCCGACGGGAGGCAGCAGGGGGGAAUAUGGCACAAUGGGCGCAAGACUGAUGCAGCCAUGCCGCGUGUAUGAAGAAGGCCUUCGGGUUGUAAAGUACGUUCAGCGGGGAGGCGUUACCCGCAGAAGAAGCACCGGCUAACUCAGUGCCAGCAGCCGAGGUAAUUC